UCAGCCAUAUCACGUCGAAACAUUGGUUCCCGUACGAUUACCGAAGUUAAGCAACGCCAAGCCUGGUCAGUACCUAAGUCGGUGACCACUUGUGAAUAUUAGGUGCUGUAAG